rnacentral:rRNA from 1 species
UGGCGGCCGUAGCGCGGUGGUCCCACCUGACCCCAUGCCGAACUCAGAAGUGAAACGCCG